AUGAACGCUAGCGACAGGCUUAACACAUGCAAGUCGAGGGGCAGCGGGGGUAGCAAUACCCGCCGGCGACCGGCGCACGGGUGAGUAACGCGUAUGCAACUUACCUAUCAGAGGGGGAUAACCCGGCGAAAGUCGGACUAAUACCGCAUGAAGCAGGGGCCCCGCAUGGGGAUAUUUGCUAAAGAUUCAUCGCUGAUAGAUAGGCAUGCGUUCCAUUAGGCAGUUGGCGGGGUAACGGCCCACCAAACCGACGAUGGAUAGGGGUUCUGAGAGGAAGGUCCCCCACAUUGGUACUGAGACACGGACCAAACUCCUACGGGAGGCAGCAGUGAGGAAUAUUGGUCAAUGGCCGAGAGGCUGAACCAGCCAAGUCGCGUGAGGGAUGAAGGUUCUAUGGAUCGUAAACCUCUUUUAUAAGGGAAUAAAGUGCGGGACGUGUCCCGUUUUGUAUGUACCUUAUGAAUAAGGAUCGGCUAACUCCGUGCCAGCAGCCGCGGUAAUACGGAGGAUCCGAGCGUUAUCCGGAUUUAUUGGGUUUAAAGGGUGCGUAGGCGGCCUUUUAAGUCAGCGGUGAAAGUCUGUGGCUCAACCAUAGAAUUGCCGUUGAAACUGGGGGGCUUGAGUAUGUUUGAGGCAGGCGGAAUGCGUGGUGUAGCGGUGAAAUGCAUAGAUAUCACGCAGAACCCCGAUUGCGAAGGCAGCCUGCCAAGCCAUGACUGACGCUGAUGCACGAAAGCGUGGGGAUCAAACAGGAUUAGAUACCCUGGUAGUCCACGCAGUAAACGAUGAUCACUAGCUGUUUGCGAUACACUGUAAGCGGCACAGCGAAAGCGUUAAGUGAUCCACCUGGGGAGUACGCCGGCAACGGUGAAACUCAAAGGAAUUGACGGGGGCCCGCACAAGCGGAGGAACAUGUGGUUUAAUUCGAUGAUACGCGAGGAACCUUACCCGGGUUUGAACGCAUUCGGACCGAGGUGGAAACACCUUUUCUAGCAAUAGCCGUUUGCGAGGUGCUGCAUGGUUGUCGUCAGCUCGUGCCGUGAGGUGUCGGCUUAAGUGCCAUAACGAGCGCAACCCUUGCCACUAGUUACUAACAGGUGAUGCUGAGGACUCUGGUGGGACUGCCAGCGUAAGCUGCGAGGAAGGCGGGGAUGACGUCAAAUCAGCACGGCCCUUACAUCCGGGGCGACACACGUGUUACAAUGGCGUGGACAAAGGGAGGCCACCUGGCGACAGGGAGCGAAUCCCCAAACCACGUCUCAGUUCGGAUCGGAGUCUGCAACCCGACUCCGUGAAGCUGGAUUCGCUAGUAAUCGCGCAUCAGCCAUGGCGCGGUGAAUACGUUCCCGGGCCUUGUACACACCGCCCGUCAAGCCAUGGGAGCCGGGGGUACCUGAAGUCCGUAACCGCGAGGAUCGGCCUAGGGUAAAACUGGUGACUGGGGCU
rnacentral:rRNA from 1 species